rnacentral:rRNA from 1 species
AGCGAACGCUGGCGGCAGGCCUAACACAUGCAAGUCGAACGAACCCUUCGGGGUUAGUGGCGGACGGGGGAGUAACACGUGGGAACGUGCCUUUAGGUCCGGCAUAACUCAGGGAAACAUGUGCUAAUACCGACGCUGCCCUUCGGGGGAAAGAUUUAUCGCAUUUGGAGCGGCCCGCGUCUGAUUAGCUAGUUGGUGAGGUAAUGGCUCACCAAGGGUACGAUCAGUAGCCGGUCUGAGAGGAUGACCAGCCACAUUGGGACUGAGGCACGGCCCAAACUCCUACGGGAGGCAGCAGUGGGGAAUCUUGCGCAAUGGGCGAAAGCCUGACGCAGCCAUGCCGCGUGGAUGAUGAAGGUCUUAGGAUUGUAAAAUCCUUUCACCGGUGAAGAUAAUGACUGUAGCCGGAGAAGAAGCCCCGGCUAACUUCGUGCCAGCCGCCGCGGUAAUAC